UUGCCAAUUAUCGCGAUGAUGAUAUGAAUAUUGUGGUUCAUGAUGAGGGAGAUGAUGAAAUGAAUUGUUGCGCGGACGAUGUCUUCUCCUCCUUCUUGAAUUCUUUGAUCAAUGAAGACAUGUUCAUGAAUUGCCAAAAUCAACAAAUCAAUGGUACAUUGCAAGAUUUUGAUCAUUUUAUGGCUUCAUCUUCACCUUCAUAUGAUCAAAAUAAUCUCAAGACAAUGGAUGAAUAAUGAAAGAAUGUUUGAUUUUAUAUAUAUAUAUAUAUAUAUAUAUAUAUACAUACAUAUGCCUUGUUAAUUAAUUAUCUUCCCAUGUUUAUAUAAAUAUAAAUUGAAUUCUUAUAUUGAUAUUUGUAUGCCAAAACAAUUUUUUUUUUCUCUUGGUGAUUUUCUAGAUAUACUAUAUUGUCUUCAAUUUUUAAUGUGAUGUUCAAUCUUACUCAUAUUGUCAUAAAAUAUGUAUAUGUGUGUGAGGGAUGAACAUAUGGACAUAUAUACUAUAAGUUAUAUAUUUAAUAAAUAAUACUAAUAAUUACUCCCUUCAUGCUAAAUUAAUCGUCUAUCUUUUUUUUUUAUUUCUCAAAAUGUAUCUGAUUAAUUUUAGAUAUUAAAUUAGACUAAAUUAACUUGAUAUUUUAAAUUUAAGGAGUCACAAUGGACCAAUAUAUAGCUAUAUAAUAAUUGCCAAGCAAUAAAGUAAUUUCUAAUUUAUUUGCUAAUAAUUCCUCACUAUGCUAUAAUUGUUGAUCGAUUAAUAUAUAGUAGCAAAAGUGAAUAACUAAUCGAUAAUUAAGGUGUACUUUUAAAAAUAUUUAGUGAUAAUUUACGUAGAAAAUUCAUACAUCUGAUAAUUUCGAUAUAAAUCUCAAAAAUUAAAAUAUUUUAUCUAACUAUUUCUUCUAUUAUGUUUGAUAACAACAUGAAAAUACUACAUUUCGACCAAAUAUUCACAACUACCAUUCUUUUUUUUUUUGUUUAUAUAAUAUAUUGCACAUUUGAUUGGUAGGUAACUAACUCUACAUAAUAUUAAUUUGUUGUGCAAUUUUAGAGUCAAUAAUAAUUCUUUUAACUCAAAGGCAAAAUUAAGAUUUUAAAUUUAUAAAUUUUAGAACAGAAAAGUUACCUAGUUGGCUAUACACAUACAAUAUUAUAUAUUUGUCUGCUAUUUUAUAUAUUUUUUUAAUUAUAAAAAAAUAAUUUUCUGAUGGAUAUUAUUAUUUAUUAUUAGAAAUGUGGGAUUUUCUAUAAAAAAAAAAGUUCAUCAUGAACGUUUCCAAUGAUCUAGUUUAUCCUUCUUUUAAAUAAAUAAAUAAAUAGCGGGAAUUAUUAUAAUAUUGAAUUGAAAUGAUUUAUAUGUAGUAACUAUAUGAUUAAUUAAUAGUAAUAAUAUAUAUCCGACACCCUUUAUUUUAUUAUUAUUAUUGUAAUAAUCAUAGCCAGACGUGUUAUAUUUAUAAUGGUUUUAAAUUAAAUAUAAGUAUCGGACACUGUACUUUUUGUACAUAUAUAAUUAAUAUGAUCAUAUAACUAGUCAAAACUACAACUUGAAAUUUAGGUAUCUAACAUAUGUGUUCAAUUAAUUGAUUUAAUCUACUAAUUUAACAAAAUAGUAAUAAAAGAAGAAAAAAAUAAUUAUUACUAGCCAAGCAUUUAAAAAAUAUAUAUACCUUGAAGAAAAUAAAAUAAAAUAUGUAGUCAACAACUACAUAAUAUAUAUGUUAUAUAUCGAGAAUUUCAAAAAUAUAUGAAAAUAAAGACAUGAAAAUUUUGGUUUUAAUUAAUACUACUAUUUUACCAACUCUAGGAUUAUACAAGAUUAGUGACAAACAAUUUCUAUCGAUAAAAAAGAAUCAUCGUUAAUCUUAUCUAACAGUGAAUAAUAUAAAAAAUAUGUCAGCUAUAAACUAUUUAGCGACAAAUAUGAAAUAUAAUUCUAGAAAUUAAUUAAAUUAUUUAACUCACCCGGAAAAAUCGCAGCCAUUGCCAUAUUUUCAGAGAGAAAUACAAAUUGUAAAGUAAAAUUGAAAAUUUUGUAAAUGGAAAAAAAAAAAUUAGGAGAAAAAAUAUUUAGGUUUCAUUAAUUUGAAACCAACUACUAGAAGAGAG
rnacentral:lncRNA from 1 species